rnacentral:rRNA from 1 species
UGGGGAAUAUUGCACAAUGGGCGCAAGCCUGAUGCAGCCAUGCCGCGUGUAUGAAGAAGGCCUUCGGGUUGUAAAGUACUUUCAGCGGGGAGGAAGGGAGUAAAGUUAAAACCUUUGCUCAUUGACGUUACCCGCAGAAGAAGCACCGGCUAACUCCGUGCCAGCAGCCGCGGUAAUACGGAGGGUGCAAGCGUUAAUCGGAAUUACUGGGCGUAAAGCGCACGCAGGCGGUUUGUUAAGUCAGAUGUGAAAUCCCCGGGCUCAACCUGGGAACUGCAUCUGAUACUGGCAAGCUUGAGUCUCGUAGAGGAGAGUGGAAUUCCAUGUGUAGCGGUGAAAUGCGUAGAUAUAUGGAGGAACACCAGUGGCGAAGGCGGCUCUCUGGUCUGUAACUGACGCUGAGGCUCGAAAGCGUGGGGAGCAAACAGG